UUAAGCGACUAAGCGUACACGGUGGAUGCCCUGGCAGUCAGAGGCGAUGAAGGACGUGCUAAUCUGCGAUAAGCGUCGGUAAGGUGAUAUGAACCGUUAUAACCGGCGAUUUCCGAAUGGGGAAACCCAGUGUGUUUCGACACACUAUCAUUAACUGAAUCCAUAGGUUAAUGAGGCGAACCGGGGGAACUGAAACAUCUAAGUACCCCGAGGAAAAGAAAUCAACCGAGAUUCCCCCAGUAGCGGCGAGCGAACGGGGAGCAGCCCAGAGCCUGAAUCAGUGUGUGUGUUAGUGGAAGCGUCUGGAAAGGCGCGCGAUACAGGGUGACAGCCCCGUACACAAAAAUGCACAUGCUGUGAGCUCGAUGAGUAGGGCGGGACACGUGGUAUCCUGUCUGAAUAUGGGGGGACCAUCCUCCAAGGCUAAAUACUCCUGACUGACCGAUAGUGAACCAGUACCGUGAGGGAAAGGCGAAAAGAACCCCGGCGAGGGGAGUGAAAAAGAACCUGAAACCGUGUACGUACAAGCAGUGGGAGCACGCUUAGGCGUGUGACUGCGUACCUUUUGUAUAAUGGGUCAGCGACUUAUAUUCUGUAGCAAGGUUAACCGAAUAGGGGAGCCGAAGGGAAACCGAGUCUUAACUGGGCGUUAAGUUGCAGGGUAUAGACCCGAAACCCGGUGAUCUAGCCAUGGGCAGGUUGAAGGUUGGGUAACACUAACUGGAGGACCGAACCGACUAAUGUUGAAAAAUUAGCGGAUGACUUGUGGCUGGGGGUGAAAGGCCAAUCAAACCGGGAGAUAGCUGGUUCUCCCCGAAAGCUAUUUAGGUAGCGCCUCGUGAAUUCAUCUCCGGGGGUAGAGCACUGUUUCGGCAAGGGGGUCAUCCCGACUUACCAACCCGAUGCAAACUGCGAAUACCGGAGAAUGUUAUCACGGGAGACACACGGCGGGUGCUAACGUCCGUCGUGAAGAGGGAAACAACCCAGACCGCCAGCUAAGGUCCCAAAGUCAUGGUUAAGUGGGAAACGAUGUGGGAAGGCCCAGACAGCCAGGAUGUUGGCUUAGAAGCAGCCAUCAUUUAAAGAAAGCGUAAUAGCUCACUGGUCGAGUCGGCCUGCGCGGAAGAUGUAACGGGGCUAAACCAUGCACCGAAGCUGCGGCAGCGACGCUUAUGCGUUGUUGGGUAGGGGAGCGUUCUGUAAGCCUGUGAAGGUGUGCUGUGAGGCAUGCUGGAGGUAUCAGAAGUGCGAAUGCUGACAUAAGUAACGAUAAAGCGGGUGAAAAGCCCGCUCGCCGGAAGACCAAGGGUUCCUGUCCAACGUUAAUCGGGGCAGGGUGAGUCGACCCCUAAGGCGAGGCCGAAAGGCGUAGUCGAUGGGAAACAGGUUAAUAUUCCUGUACUUGGUGUUACUGCGAAGGGGGGACGGAGAAGGCUAUGUUGACCGGGCGACGGUUGUCCCGGUUUAAGCGUGUAGGCUGGUUUUCCAGGCAAAUCCGGAAAAUCAAGGCUGAGGCGUGAUGACGAGGCACUACGGUGCUGAAGCAACAAAUGCCCUGCUUCCAGGAAAAGCCUCUAAGCAUCAGGUAACAUCAAAUCGUACCCCAAACCGACACAGGUGGUCAGGUAGAGAAUACCAAGGCGCUUGAGAGAACUCGGGUGAAGGAACUAGGCAAAAUGGUGCCGUAACUUCGGGAGAAGGCACGCUGAUAUGUAGGUGAAGUCCCUCGCGGAUGGAGCUGAAAUCAGUCGAAGAUACCAGCUGGCUGCAACUGUUUAUUAAAAACACAGCACUGUGCAAACACGAAAGUGGACGUAUACGGUGUGACGCCUGCCCGGUGCCGGAAGGUUAAUUGAUGGGGUCAGCGCAAGCGAAGCUCUUGAUCGAAGCCCCGGUAAACGGCGGCCGUAACUAUAACGGUCCUAAGGUAGCGAAAUUCCUUGUCGGGUAAGUUCCGACCUGCACGAAUGGCGUAAUGAUGGCCAGGCUGUCUCCACCCGAGACUCAGUGAAAUUGAACUCGCUGUGAAGAUGCAGUGUACCCGCGGCAAGACGGAAAGACCCCGUGAACCUUUACUAUAGCUUGACACUGAACAUUGAGCCUUGAUGUGUAGGAUAGGUGGGAGGCUUAGAAGUGUGGACGCCAGUCUGCAUGGAGCCGACCUUGAAAUACCACCCUUUAAUGUUUGAUGUUCUAACGUUGACCCGUAAUCCGGGUUGCGGACAGUGUCUGGUGGGUAGUUUGACUGGGGCGGUCUCCUCCUAAAGAGUAACGGAGGAGCACGAAGGUUGGCUAAUCCUGGUCGGACAUCAGGAGGUUAGUGCAAUGGCAUAAGCCAGCUUGACUGCGAGCGUGACGGCGCGAGCAGGUGCGAAAGCAGGUCAUAGUGAUCCGGUGGUUCUGAAUGGAAGGGCCAUCGCUCAACGGAUAAAAGGUACUCCGGGGAUAACAGGCUGAUACCGCCCAAGAGUUCAUAUCGACGGCGGUGUUUGGCACCUCGAUGUCGGCUCAUCACAUCCUGGGGCUGAAGUAGGUCCCAAGGGUAUGGCUGUUCGCCAUUUAAAGUGGUACGCGAGCUGGGUUUAGAACGUCGUGAGACAGUUCGGUCCCUAUCUGCCGUGGGCGCUGGAGAACUGAGGGGGGCUGCUCCUAGUACGAGAGGACCGGAGUGGACGCAUCACUGGUGUUCGGGUUGUCAUGCCAAUGGCACUGCCCGGUAGCUAAAUGCGGAAGAGAUAAGUGCUGAAAGCAUCUAAGCACGAAACUUGCCCCGAGAUGAGUUCUCCCUGACCCUUUAAGGGUCCUGAAGGAACGUUGAAGACGACGACGUUGAUAGGCCGGGUGUGUAAGCGCAGCGAUGCGUUGAGCUAACCGGUACUAAUGAACCGUGAGGCUUAACCUU
rnacentral:rRNA from 1 species